rnacentral:rRNA from 1 species
CGCUGGCGGCAUGCUUUACACAUGCAAGUCGAACGGCAGCACGGGGGCAACCCUGGUGGCGAGUGGCGAACGGGUGAGUAAUGCAUCGGAACGUGUCCUUAAGUGGGGGAUAACGCAUCGAAAGAUGCGCUAAUACCGCAUAAUCUCCGAGGAGAAAAGCAGGGGAUCGCAAGACCUUGCGCUUUUGGAGCGGCCGAUGUCUGAUUAGCUAGUUGGUGGGGUAAUGGCUUACCAAGGCUUCGAUCAGUAGCUGGUCUGAGAGGACGACCAGCCACACUGGGACUGAGACACGGCCCAGACUCCUACGGGAGGCAGCAGUGGGGAAUUUUGCACAAUGGGCGAAAGCCUGAUGCAGCAACGCCGCGUGUGUGAUGAAGGUCUUCGGAUUGUAAAGCACUUUC